CUUGGCAUAAGGAUUUAAAGAAGCAAGGGAUUAUCUCUGCCCAAGUAAUGGGGAGCAGUUUUCCCUGAGGAAGAACAAUAAACAAGUGCAGCACAACUGGGAGACAAUUGGUCAUCAAGCAAUUCUUCCGGAUGAAGGAACACCUACAAAUGAGGAGAUGAUUAUUUCACUGGAACACAUUUGACUUGCAUUUGGACUCCGUCAAGCAAACCCGGCUAUUCCUUUGCUUUUGAACCAUCUGUCAGUCUUUGAUAUUUCUCUUGUUGGUGCAGCCCCAUUUCUUCUUCACUGUAAAACCUGAAUUACUUUACAGGUUGGCGGGAGCUGAGGCGAGGAAGGGAGCUCACCCUUUCAUGUGGAGCUGGGGUCUCGAACCUGAGCUGCCAGGUUUCCAGCCAACAAGCCCAGCAUAUUUCAUCUCAUCUAGCUGUGCAAUAAAUAAUAGAGCAGAACUAGGAACAGCUUGAUUGCAAGCCCAAGUCUCCUCCAUCAAUUCAAACAGCUGUCAUAGUGCUGGUGGUUUCCCCUUGUGUUAGACUACGAUUUCUACACACCAUGUCGUUCAAGGAAGAUAUGUUUGAGAGUCCGUCACUUCAUAAUGAAACUUCAAGUCAGCUUUGAAAAUGCCUUUUGUAGUAAAGUUAUUCCAAUGACUUAGAGCAGUGCUUCUCAACUUUGGCAACUUUAAGAUUCGCAGAAUUCCCCAGCCAGCGUUGCUUUUUUUGUACACAUGUUUUAUUUUUCUCUCUUUUUGUUGUUAGUG